AUGCCCCGUUAGCUAGGGCUGGGUUUGUAAGAAAAGGUUCCUGACUAGCUGUGGUUGUAAGAGAGACAAGGUUCCCAAUUUCAGGGGCUGAUGAUUCCUCUGGUCAGGAGCAGUGUGUCCUACGCAGCAGAAGGUAGCAUCUAGAGGAUGACUCCAGGUGUUGAGUUACUUGCCUUCCUCCCAUGUUUCUCUGUCUUCUCUAUUGUGUUGGCCAACACUCUCGCUCUUUCAUUCUCCCUUCCUUGCCUUUCCUGAUGCAGUCUCCCUACGUAGGACGCGGGAAAAGAGUGCUAGGUGUGCAUCCACACAGUCUGUCUUCGGGACCCAUGAAGUAUUAGGAGGGUAUGAAAAUCAUGCAUAUUAGUGGGUGCCACAGUGGAGCAGUGUCUGUGACUUGGUCUUUAAUCAUCGCCUGGGGCUGAUGUAGACCAAAUGAGAGAGGGAGGCAGAGAUUAGGGCAAGAUUUCACAUACCUUCAGAGCUUUGUGUAACGCUGACUCAUCCUUGGCUUUUGCAACUGCACUGGCAGAGGAAUUGUCCAGGAGCGCUAUCUGGAGGAGAGACUCUCAAAAGCGGACCUGAACAUCCUUCUAAGCAGACGUGAACAGUCCUCAGCUUUCUGCCUCCUGCAUAACUGGCUUUCCAAGUGAAAAGAAGUCAGUUUACUGCCCUCAUGCGAUGGAAAGAGAGCGACGAGACCUCGAGCAUUGUUCAUGCCAGGCAAGAGCCGUCCAUCUGGGAGCGGAACAGCUGCCACUGUCACUGAGAUAAGUGUCUGUUCUGGUGAGGGUUCUGCUCACAGCCCACCUGGCUCCAGGUAGGGACGUCCUGUUAGUUGGGCCUGGGGUUGUAACAAAAUGUUCAUGACUAGCUGUGGUUAUGAGGGAGACUGGGUCCCCAUUUUCAGGGUCUGCUCAUUUCUCUGCUGACAAGCGAUGUGUCCUCUGCAGAAAAGGUAGGUUCCAGGUGGCGAGUUACUUGUCUUCCUCCCGUGUUUCUCUCUCUCUCUCUCCUCUAGUGUUGGCCAACACACUCUGUCAGUCUGUCCUUGCCUCUUUUUCUGCUGUUUCACUUCAUUUCACACAGGCAGGUGAGCUAGCUGUGUAUCCCCAGAGGUCAGGUCUUGGGAAGCAUGGCGAAGUAGGAGAGGAAGAAAAUAACGCAGGGGAGUGGGUGUGAGAGUGGAGCAGUGACUGUUGCUGUUAACUCGGUCUCUGUUCAUCAAGUGGGGCCAAUGCAGACGGAAUGGAAGAGGGAGACAGGAUUGAGGGCAAGAUUUCAAGCACCAUUAGAGCGCUGUGUAGUGAUGGCUCAUGCUUGGUUUUUGCAGCUGUUGUGGCAGAGGAAUUGUCCAGGAGCCCUAGCUGGAGAAGGAAGAGACAGAAGUGGACCUGAGCAGCUUGGACAUCCUUUUAAGCAGACACGAACAGUCCUCAGCUUUAUGUCUCUUGCAUAAUUGGCUUUCCAAGUGAAAAGAAGUCAGUUUACUGCCCUCAUGCGAUGGAAAGAGAGCGACGAGACCUCGAGCAUUGUUCAUGCCAGGCAAGAGCCGUCCAUCUGGGAGUGGAACAGCUGCCACUGUCACUGAGAUAAGUGUCUGUUUUGCUGAGGGUUCUGCUCACGGCCCACCUGGCUCCAGGUAGGGACACCCCAUCAGCUGGGGCUGGAUUUAUAAGAAAAUGUUCCUCACUAGCUUCGGUUGAGGGAGACAAGGUCCUCAGUUCUGUGUCCAGUAUCUGUGUUCCCUCCUCAGCAGAAGAUUGGAUCCAGGAGGAUGACACCAGGUGGUGAGUUGCUUGCCUUCCUCCCAUGAUAUUCUCUCUCUCUCUCUCUCUCUUCUCUAGUGUUGGCCAACACACUCACUCUCUCUCUCUCUCUCUCCCUCUCUGCUGUCUCCCUUCAUAGCACACAGGCAGGGGUGCUAAGUGUGCAUCUCCACAGGCUAGGUCUCCUGGAUCCAUGAAGAAGUAGGAGGGGACAAGAAUCAUGCUGGGUAGUGGAUAGUAGAGUGGAGUGGUGACUAUCGGUGUUAACUGCAUCUCUGUUCAUCAAGUAGGGCUGAUGUAGAUGGAAUGGGAGAGGGAGGCAGGGAUGAGGGCAUUCAUAGAGCUCUGUGUAGUGAUAGUUCUUGGUUGGCUUUAUUAGUUUACAGAGGAAUCGUCCAAGAGCCUUGGCCGGAGGAGAGGGUGGCAGAAGUGAAGCUGAGCUGCCUGAACAUCCUUCUAAGGAGACAUGAAUAGUUCUCAGAUUUCUGAAUUCUGCAUAACUGUCUGUGAGUAAGAGUACCAAGGAAAAAGAAGUCACACGUCAGAGUCUACUGCCCUCAUGCAAUUGGAAAG